CCUACGGGAGGCAGCAGUGAGGAAUAUUGGUCAAUGGGCGCGAGCCUGAACCAGCCAAGUAGCGUGAAGGAUGACUGCCCUAUGGGUUGUAAACUUCUUUUAUAAAGGAAUAAAGUGCGGCAUGUGUCCUUUUUUGUAUGUACCUUAUGAAUAAGGAUCGGCUAACUCCGUGCCAGCAGCCGCGGUAAUACGGAGGAUCCGAGCGUUAUCCGGAUUUAUUGGGUUUAAAGGGAGCGUAGGUGGGUUGUUAAGUCAGUUGUGAAAGUUUGCGGCUCAACCGUAAAAUUGCAGUUGAUACUGGCAGUCUUGAGUACAGGAGAGGUAGGCGGAAUUCGUGGUGUAGCGGUGAAAUGCUUAGAUAUCACGAAGAACUCCGAUUGCGAAGGCAGCAUACUGGACUGCAACUGACGCUGAUGCUCGAAAGUGUGGGUAUCAAACAGGAUUAGAUACCCCAGUAGUC
rnacentral:rRNA from 1 species